rnacentral:rRNA from 1 species
AUUGAACGCUGGCGGCCGGCCUAACACAUGCAAGUCGAACGAGUGGCGGACGGGUGAGUAAUGUCUGGGAAACUGCCUGAUGGAGGGGGAUAACUACUGGAAAAGGUAGCUAAUACCGCAUACCAUCAGAUGUGCCCAGAUGGGAUUAGCUAGUUGGUGGGGUAACGGCUCACAAAGGCGACGCUCCCUAGCUGGUCUGAGAGGAUUACCAGCCACACUGGAACUGAGACACGGUCCAGACUCCUACGGGAGGCAGCAGUGGGGAAUAUUGCACAAUGGGCGAAAGUCUGACGCAGCCAUGCCGCGUGUAUGAAGAAGGCCUUCGGGUUGUAAAGCACUUUCAGCGGGGAGGCGUUAUCCGCAGAAGAAGCACCGGCUAACUCCGUGCCAGCAGCCGCGGUAAUAC